rnacentral:rRNA from 1 species
UUGAAACACGGACCAAGGAGUCUAGCAUGUGCGCGAGUCAUUGGGACAUGACUAAACCUAAAGGCGCAAUGAAAGUGAAAGUCAGCCUUGCGCUGACUCAGGGAGGAUGGGCGGUCGUUACGGCUGCCGCCUCGCACUCCCGGGGCGUCUCGUUCUCAUUGCGAGAUGAGGCGCACCAAGAGCGUACACGCUGGGACCCGAAAGAUGGUGAACUAUGCCUGGCCAGGACGAAGUCAGGGGAAACCCUGAUGGAGGUCCGUAGCGAUUCUGACGUGCAAAUCGAUCGUCGGAGCUGGGUAUAGGGGCGAAAGACUAAUCGAACCAUCUAGU